GUUGAAUGAUGCUUGUUAAAAGUGCAGAGCAGAAGCCACCAACCAAGCCUCGCCAGUAUCUCCCACCGAGUCACGAAUCUCCCAUCUAACUCCCUUUCACACAACCCAGGCCUCUCCAAGCCUGACUUUCCCGGAAACUCCAGUCCAGGUCUUCCUUCCUCCUCCAGCCCAGGCCGGGACCUGGGGGCUCCUGCCGGAUCCAUGGGGGCGGCCAGCUGCGAGGAUGAGGAGCUGGAAUUUAAGCUGGUGUUCGGGGAGGAAAAGGAGGCCCCCCGCUGGGCGCGGGGGGAUUGGGGGAAGAACUGGACUCAGAGGAUGCCCCGCCAUGCUGCCGUCUGGCCUUGGGAGAGCCCCCACCCUAUGGCGCUGCACCUAUCGGUAUUCCCCGACCUCCACCCCCUCGGCCUGGCAUGCAUUCGCCACCGCCGCGCCCAGCCCCCUCACCUGGCACCUGGGAGAGCCAGCCCGCCAGGUCGGUGAGGCUGGGAGGACCAGGAGGGGGUGCUGGGGGUGCUGGGGGUGGCCGUGUUCUCGAGUGUCCCAGCAUCCGCAUCACGUCCAUCUCUCCCACGCCCGAGCCGCCGGCAGCGCUGGAGGACAACCCUGAUGCCUGGGGGGACGGCUCUCCAAGAGAUUACCCCCCACCAGAAGGCUUUGGGGGCUACCGAGAAGCAGGGGGCCAGGGUGGGGGGGCCUUCUUCAGCCCAAGCCCUGGCAGCAGCAGCCUGUCCUCGUGGAGCUUCUUCUCCGAUGCCUCUGACGAGGCAGCCCUGUAUGCAGCCUGCGACGAGGUGGAGUCUGAGCUAAAUGAGGCGGCCUCCCGCUUUGGCCUGGGCUCCCCGCUGCCCUCGCCCCGGGCCUCCCCUCGGCCAUGGACCCCCGAAGAUCCCUGGAGCCUGUAUGGUCCAAGCCCCGGAGGCCGAGGGCCAGAGGAUAGCUGGCUACUCCUCAGUGCUCCUGGGCCCACCCCAGCCUCCCCGCGGCCUGCCUCUCCAUGUGGCAAGCGGCGCUAUUCCAGCUCGGGAACCCCAUCUUCAGCCUCCCCAGCUCUGUCCCGCCGUGGCAGCCUGGGGGAAGAGGGGUCUGAGCCACCUCCACCACCCCCGUUGCCUCUGGCCCGGGACCCUGGCACCCCUGGUCCCUUUGACUAUGUGGGAGCCCCACCAGCUGAGAGCAUCCCUCAGAAGACAAGGCGGACUUCCAGCGAGCAGGCAGUGGCUCUGUCUCGGUCUGAGGAGCCUGCCUCAUGCAAUGGGAAGCUGCCCUUGGGAGCAGAGGAGUCUGUGGCUCCUCCAGGAGGUUCCCGGAAGGAGGUGGCUGGCAUGGACUACCUGGCAGUGCCCUCCCCACUCGCUUGGUCCAAGGCCCGGAUUGGGGGACACAGCCCUAUCUUCAGUGUCUUGCUCUGUCACCAAGACUGGAGUGCAGUGGUGUGAUCUCACUCAGCCUCAACCUCCUGGGCUCAAGCGAUCCUCCUGCCUCAGCAGGAGUAGCU
rnacentral:sRNA from 1 species